UGUGUGUGUGUGUGAGUGCUGGAUGAUGUGUGUGUGUGUGAGUGCUGGAUGAUGUGUGUGUGAGUGAGUGCUGGAUGAUGUGUGUGUGAGUGAGUGAUGGAUGAUGUGUGUUUGAGUGAGUGAUGGAUGAUGGGUGUGUGAGUGCUGGAUGAUGUGUGUGUGUGCUGGAUGAUGGGUGUGUGAGUGCUGGAUGAUGGGUGUGUGAGUGCUGAAUGAUGUGUGUGUGAGUGCUGGAUGAUGGGUGUGUGUGUGUGAGUGCUGGAUGAUGGGUGUGUGAGUACUGGAUGAUGGGUGUGUGAGUACUGGAUGAUGUGUGUGUGUGUGUGCUGGAUGAUGGGUGUGUGUGUG